ACACCUCGUUCUGGAUCCCUUCAAGCUCCUGCACUCUCGGUAUUCUGGACAAUCAGUUAGAGUAGCCAAGCUUGCUCGACCCUAGAGUUCAUGAGGCUGGCAAUGGCAUCAACCAACGUUGGAGCCCGUGGUGGAAUCUCCUUAUUGAUUCCUGAUCCAGAAGCUUGAAAGUCUUUAGGAUCCGACAUUCUGCCAAGAAUUUUAACAGAUUAUUAAUGUCUGAGUAGCAGCUUAUCAUCAUUCUUCAUAAGUAUGCUCAUUUUUCAUGCACAUCAGCACAAUCAUUACAUUCAACAUGCAAACCAUACUUAUUUACAUCAUUAUUUUUAUUACAUGAGCAAGAGUUCACCAUACAGAACAUCCCCACUACUAACGUCUCAUCACACCUAUCUUACAUAUAUACAAAACAUAAUCUUUUCACCACCUACACUUCUCCA
rnacentral:lncRNA from 1 species